CCAUACAGCAGUUAUGUAGGUACAAAACUGAAGCAGAGCUGAGAAGUUUACAGAUUCGCUCCACGGGAAACAAAAUGUUCGUGACGUUUACAUCUGAUGCCAUGAAUCAACGUCCAGGAUUUCUGAUUAAUUUUAACACACAUGUCUGUCCCCAAAUGAUGUAUGGCUUGACGAAAUGUAACAACAGCUGCAUUUGUAACGCAACCAACACAGCCUACUGCAAUAAUUUAAAUGGGAAAUGCUCCUGUAAAUCUGGAUGGAAGGCUGAUAACUGUAAUGAGGACAUCAACGAAUGCGCUGACCCACUGGUCGAAAGAUGUCCCAUUGACUACCAAACAUGUGUCAACAACCCAGGUGGUUAUUCUUGCGACUGCAAGCCGGGUCUUGUCAAAAACUCAAGUGGCGUUUGUGUUGCUAAGCCAAGUUCUGGCUGUACGAGGCAAUGUUCCCACUUGUGUGGGGUUACAGAUAACCUGACUCAAAUUUGUUACUGCCCAAACUACAUGAUGCUUAGUGGGCUGACUUGUAUUGCAUGUCCAAGAAUGACAUACGGCAGUAACUGUUCAAGAACGUGCAACUGUGACGCUACUCACACGACAGAGUGUGACAGAGUGACUGGACAAUGCAUCUGUGCGACAGGAUGGUCAGGAGCUACCUGU